rnacentral:rRNA from 1 species
GGUUGAUCCUGCCAGUAGCAUAUGCUUGUCUCAAAGAUUAAGCCAUGCAUGUCUAAGUAUAAACAAAUUUAUACUGUGAAACUGCGAACGGCUCAUUAUAUCAGUGAUUAUUUAUUUGAUGGUACCUUACUACAUGGAUACCCGUAGUAAUUCUAGAGCUAAUACAUGCGUAAAGUCCCGACUUAUGAAGGGAUGUAUUUAUUAGAUAACAAAACCAGCGGGGGAGAGGGGCAACUCUCUUCUUCAUUUGGUGAUUCAUAGUAACUGUUCGAAUCGUAUGACGCAAGUCGACG